AAGUUCCUCAAAUGUAUAUCUGACUUUGUUUCUAGAAUUUAGGUUUUGUUGCCAUUACGAUUUUUAGUUAAUUUCAGUAGCAUAAAACGUUUAGGUGAUUUAAUUUAUUUUGAAUCAAUUUUGUCACGCUGUUAGAACCAUUUUAAAAUACUUUUAAACGAUUUAUUGUGAUAAUGUAUGAUAUUGUAUCCUACAUAGCACAGAGAGGAAUUCUGGAGCUGGAUGUUGGAUAUUAUUGGGGAAGCAUUGGACCUGGAAGAGUAUCAGUAGGAGAUAUAGGCUGUGGUGAGUCGAGGCUGCUGUUAUUCGAACAGGGACGUUUUUCACUAGUUUUUGAAAAGGAAAUUAGAGGAAAAAACGAGGUGUGUUCUCCGAGGAUACUAUGGGUAUAACUUAAGUAUUAGUAGUGGUAGGGUUAGCACAAAAGAGAUUUACAGAAUCAUUUGAUUUAAGAGAAGGAUUUUUUGUGGGAUGGAAGUGUGGGGCAUGAAUCAGUAGUGUGCCCAGCCUGUUUGCAGAAAAAGCAUUCGAGUUUGUGGGUAGAAAUGAAUAUUCUAUGUGUAGUGUUGUAGGUAAUAUGCAAAUUACACGGCAGAAGCUGGGAACAUGUACAUAUCCAUUAUCAGGUUAGCCACAUUUGACGUAUGAUAUAAAGAGAGGAAAGUGAUAACUCUAAGUCAUGCAAUGCUUUCUCAAUGACGGAAUGGGGAACUGAUGGACAAACAUUGAAAAUAAGUAUUCUUUUGGUUGGAGAUAUAAACCGACGUAUAGGGAUUAUAUUGGAAUUAACUAGGAUGUUUUGGUUGGUUUUCAGAAGGUGGUCGAGAUAAAUAAAUAUAUAUUCUGGAUAUGAAAAUAUAUAAUUUAGUCAAAUAGUAUUGUGAUAUCUCAACCAUUUUCAAUUACUCUGAUUCCUUUCAGCAUCAUCAUUUCGUUUAGAAACUCUAUUUGCUUUCUAUUGCCCACGAAUGUUGAAUUUAAAGGUUUGUAUGUAUUUAUUGAUGAGGUGUUAAACACAUCAAACAAUUUAUCAAACUUUUCAAUAAUAUAUGCAGUACCCAUUGUUUCUGACAGUAGUGCACCCAGGCUCACUGAUAUAUUUAGACCUGCUGCUACUGCAGCACUCAACACUUGUGUAGCUAAUUUGACCUUCAUUUUGUCAAAAUUGCUUGGCCAAAUGUGUGAAUUGGUUAAUUUUGGGGCUAGUCUGAAAUGUAAUUUUCUAUCUGCAUUGAAGAAAUCUUCAAUAUAUUUCCACGAGGCUGUUUUCUCCUUGAAUGUAAAUGUAUGUGCCAUUAAGUUGUUUCUUACAGCUUUUAUUAGAUGUGGUGGGUCAAAAACAUACCAAAAUUUAAUCUCCUUUACCUUAAAGAAAGGAUAUCUCUCCAUCACACCUAAUAGAUGUGCCAUUUGUAUAAAAUUUCUUCCCAGAUCAGAAACCAAUAUUUGUUUUCAUAAUCCAUAAUCUUCUAACCCAAUAAUUUCAUCUUUAGAAAUAUGGAAGAAAAGGUUUGACUUCAAAAACAUUUCAUCAAUGCAAAAAAUACAGUAUCUGUCUAAUUCAUUCAAUGCCUCAAUUUUGGGUUUUAUACUCUUGAAUAACUUUUCAUUUAAACCAGCAUUCAUAGGCAUGUUUUAUGUCAUUCUCUGCAGAAUAACGUCUACCUUUUGGCAUUCUCAUAUGAAGAUUUGCCUGCAUUUUCACAAACUUAGCAGAUGCUGGUGGUAGUAAUUUUUUUAACGAACACUUAAAUUGUGUUAACAUUUGUUUGCGUGACAAUUAACCCCUUUCUUGGGGUAUUAUAACUUAGAUAUUCUUCUAGUUUCCAUAACUGGAUCUGCUGUUGAUGUCGAUGGCCUGGGCUCACAAUCUAAAAAACUGUAGUAUUAGUAUCAUUUUUAAUAGACAAUAGACAAAUAUUACCAAGUCCAUAUAAACCAGUACUUUUUAUCUGGAUAGAAGAAUCUAAUUUUCUUCUUUUCGGGUCCCCUAUUUCCUUUGCUUCAGGAAUAGCAUGUGGUUGUAGACGAUUUAGGUUUUUAUUAGUUUUUAACCAGAUCCUUUUGUUGUUAAGAAAAUAAUGGCUUUUAAACAUGUCCUUAAAACUUUCCAGCAUCAGUGCUUUAAAAAUAUAAAUUAUAAAAAGGGGUGAAAACGCCUUAGAGUCCAGUCAUGUGAAGAAAAUGGAUUUUGACUCUGAUUUGCAGAGGGGAAGUAUUUGCUAGUAUGAAAGACAAAAGCUACAAGGUAUCUAUAGUGCCAUUUGUGAGAAUCUAAUGACACCUUGGCUUCGUCAGGGACUAAGCAUCCCAACUUUGCAAUGCAACCUGAAGAGGAAAAUUGAAGAUAUUUUAGGGGAAGAAGUCCAAGACAGUCAAAAACGGAAAACCUGCGCUUUUUGUGCUUAAAAAACGCAGAAUGACAGUUUCAG